rnacentral:rRNA from 1 species
GUGCCAGCAGCCGCGGUAAUACAGAGGGUGCAAGCGUUAAUCGGAGUUACUGGGCGUAAAGGGCGCGUAGGCGGUUUGUUAAGUGAGAUGUGAAAUCCCCGGGCUUAACCUGGGAACUGCAUCUUAUACUGGCGAGCUAGAGUACUGUAGAGGGUAGUGGAAUUUCCGGUGUAGCGGUGAAAUGCGUAGAGAUCGGAAGGAACACCAGUGGCGAAGGCGGCUACCUGGACAGAUACUGACGCUGAGGCGCGAGAGCGUGGGGAGCAAACAGGAUUAGAUACCCUGGUAGUCC